UCCCUGGUGGUCCAGCGGCUAAGACUCUGUACUCCCAACGCAGGGGGCCUGGGUUUGAUUCCUGGUCAGAGAA
rnacentral:tRNA from 1 species